AAAAAAUCACUCAGAUCAUUCAAAAACUUUUCGGCUUUUCAUAAACARCAAAAUUACACGAUCUUUUCGAUUAUCAUCUUCAAAGUAACAGUCUACUUGGAUAAAACAACUCAAAAUGCCUUUUGCCUGUUGCGGUUGCUGCGGCUCUUAUGGUUGCCCGACUGGCCCUUGUGGCCCCUGCGGUCCGUGUGGACCAUGCCGACCAGGCGGACCGUGCCAACCUUGCGGACCAUGUGGCCCAUGUAGCCCCUGCGGACCGUGUGGCCCAUGCAGCCCCUGCGGCCCAUGUGGUUCUUGUGGACCYUGCUGCGGACCGUCGUCAUGUAGUCCGUGCUCACCUUGCGGUCCGUGYGGACCUUSUGGUCCCUGCUGUAGCCCSUGCGGUCCUUGUAUAACGCGCGGUCCAUGCGGCCCUUGUGGWACGUGCGGACCCUGCUGCAAUCCAUACCCGGGCUGCUGUGCGUUCGGUUGUCCGUGCUCCAAAUGCCCGAACCCAUGCCGCUAUCUGAAACCAAAAUACUAAGUACUAAGGUAAUGUACUUACUGGCCGACUGUGGAGUACAAAACUUGGACCUGUGUGUACAGAGUGGGUUUGUUGCAGAACGAGUUACUAAUAAUAUGGAGACACUUGGGUUGGAAAUUGAAUUUCAAAUGCAACAAGCGCUGACAAAUAGUGGCGAUCGUUGGACAACGAGUCGAACAUGCGGUUAGAUAAUAGAUUUCAAAGAAUGCGUCUGCAAUUGCCAUGUGUCAUUUUGUUCAUUUGAUAUUUUGUAUGAAGAUAUAAAAGAAUAAAAAGAGUACACCUUGCAAAGGUUGAUUAAAAAUUUAAAAAUCACCGAGUCAGUGCAUUAAUUGUCAAAGAUGAUCGUUUUUAAUUCAUAAAAUUUCGAAAAAUUCCGAAAGUAAGCGACACCUCAUUGGCACGGAGAAUUUUUUUGUUAGAAAUUUCUGCGCUAACUAAAAACACUUCAGCCAUCACCUAAUGCAGUGCCCUUGCUGGUGCUAUCGACCGGCUCCUUGUGGUCCUUAUGGCCCCUUCGGUCCAUGGGGUUGUAUAGGACCAUGCGGUGCCAUAGGUCCAUGCACGCCUUGUGGUGCGCCGUGGGGUUCGUGUCAGCCGUGUGGCAGUUCRUGUUACGGCUCUUCGUGUUAUGGGCGUAGAUGUUGUUAAAGCAAGUUACCGAUACAAACGAGCGUACGCAGCAAAGCAAGCAGGUGAAGAUUAWUAAAUAAACGCAGCGUCGAUUUGGGCAAUGAAUUGGGUGAACUGCAAUGGCAAGUGUAUUUCGUUAUAAACAUUGAACUGCAUGGUGAAAGGCAYAAAAAUCAUAUAAAAAUAUUUAAAUACAAAAAUC